rnacentral:rRNA from 1 species
AGAAUAUGAUAUUACGUGUCGGGAGUGUUCGGAUCGCGGCGACGUGGGCGGUUCGCCGCCGACGACGUCGCGAGAAGUCCACUGAACCUUAUCAUUUAGAGGAAGGAGAAGUCGUAACAAGGUUUCCGUAGGUGAACCUGCGGAAGGAUCAUUG